rnacentral:rRNA from 1 species
UGACCUCGGAUCAGGUAGGGAUACCCGCUGAACUUAAGCAUAUCAAUAAGCGGAGGAAAAGAAACCAACAGGGAUUGCCCUAGUAACGGCGAGUGAAGCGGCAACAGCUCAAAUUUGAAAUCUGGCGUCUUUGGCGUCCGAGUUGUAAUUUGCAGAGGGCGCUUUGGCAUUGGCAGCGGUCCAAGUUCCUUGGAACAGGACGUCACAGAGGGUGAGAAUCCCGUACGUGGUCGCUAGCCUUUACCGUGUAAAGCCCCUUCGACGAGUCGAGUUGUUUGGGAAUGCAGCUCUAAAUGGGAGGUAAAUUUCUUCUAAAGCUAAAUACUGGCCAGAGACCGAUAGCGCACAAAGUA